rnacentral:rRNA from 1 species
UAUCAAGUUACAAUUAGAGCAUAUAAUGGAUGCCCUGACACUUUACUCCGAUGAAGGACGUGGCAAACUGCGAUAAGCUUCGGCGAGCCGUUAUACAGGCAUUGAACCGGAGAUCUCCGAAUGGGUAAACCCAUCCGAUUUUAUAGUCGGAUACCCCCAACUGAAUACAUAGGUUGGGAAGAGGAUACUUGGCGAACUGAAACAUCUUAGUAACCAAGGAAAAGAAAUCAAUUGAGAUUCCCUUAGUAGUGGCGAGCGAAAAGGGAAUAGCCCAAACCCGUUCCUCAUUGCAUUCGUCAAUUUUUUCAUUUUGCAUUUCUGAUUUUGCAUUUAAAUGCGAAUUCUAAAAUGUUAAAUGCGAAAUGCGACGAGCGUAGUGAGGAGCGGGGGUUGUAGGACUCCAAUAUGGAUUUUAUCUUUAUAUUUGAAGGAACCUGGAAAGGACCACCGUAGAGGGUAAUAGUCCCGUAAGAUAAAUAUAGAUAAAUUCCUAGGAAGUUCCUGAGUAGGGUCGGACACGUGAAAUCCGGCUUGAAUCUGGGAGGACCACCUUCCAAGGCUAAAUAGGUAAAGUGAUCGAUAGCGAACUAGUACCGUGAGGGAAAGGUGAAAAGUACCCCGGGUAGGGGGAUGAAAUAGUACCUGAAAUUAUAUGCUUACAAAGAAUAGGAGGUCCGAUGUAUUUCGGACUGACUGUGUGCUUUUUGUAGAACGAGCCAACGAGUUAGCUGUAUGUGGCGAGGCUAAGGGAUUUAUACCCGGAGCCAUAGCGAAAGCGAGUGCGAAUAGCGCGUUCUAACAGCUACAUUAUGACUGUCACUUAAAUAACGUUAUAACGAAAUAACGUUGAAAUAUUAGUAUUUAAACAAUUAUUUAGAAUUUAAUUUAGAAUUAUUAUGAGUUACAAAGACUUAAACGUAUAUCAACGGGCUUAUCAAGUGGCAAUCGAUCUUCACAGAUUCCUUGAAAGGAGUGGAGACAAAUUUUCUACUGAUGAAAACAAUCAAUUUAAAAGUAUGUCGCGAGACAUAAUAGGAAACAUUGCUGAGGGUUACUCCCAGCGAACCGCGAGAGCGAAACGUUUCUUUAAUUUUAAAGCUUUAGACAUUAUUAAUCGUCUAAUGCUUGAUAUAGAUUUUUUACACGAUACAAAGCGUAUGCCAGACAAAGAAUAUUCGUCUUUUUAUAGCGAAUACGAAAUCUGUGCAAAGAUGCUUUAUAAAUUUAAUCAAUCUAUUUUAGAAAAGGCGGAAACGCCUAAAGAAGAAGUCGCAGUAGCGGCUUAAACCAACCUACCUGCUGGUAGGCAGGUUUUCAUUAGUGGCAGUCAGAAUGUAGUUGUUAGUUAGUCAUAUACACUAGACCCGAAACUGAGUGAGCUAUCCAUGGGCAGGCUGAACCAAGAGUAACAUCUUGGGAAGGGCCGAACACACUAGUGCUGCAAGACUAGGUGAUGACCUGUGGAUAGAGGUGAAAUGCUAAUCGAACUCAGAGAUAGCUGGUUCUCCUCGAAAUAGCUUUAGGGCUAGCCUCGAGUAAAUGAGCGAUGGAGGUAGAGCACUGUCAAGGCUAGGGGGCGAAAUAAGUCUACCAAACCUUAACAAACUUCAAAUACCAUCGUUUCUUAUCUCGGGAGUCAGACUGCGAUAGCUAAGUACCGUAGUCAAAAGGGAAACAGCCCAGACCGCCUGCUAAGGUCCCUAAUAUAUGUUAAGUGGCAAAGGAUGUGAGAUUGCUUAUACAACCAGGAUGUUGGCUUAGAAGCAGCCACCCAUUUAAAGAGUGCGUAACAGCUCACUGGUCCACUGUCUUUUUGACGCGAUCCUGCGCCUAAAAUCUAACGGGGCUAAACAUAUAACCGAAGCAACGGAUUCUCCGACUUUACGUCGGAGUCUGGUAGAGGAGCGUUCCUGUCUGCGAUGAAGUCAAACUGUGAAGUUUGGUGGAGCGUCAGGAAGUGAAAAUGUUGGCAUGAGUAACUUGAAUCCCGAUGAAAAAUCGGGACACCGAAAACCCAAGGUUUCCCACGCAACGUUAAUCGACGUGGGGUUAGUCGGUCCUAAGGCGAGGCUGAAAAGCGUAGUCGAUGGACAACAGGUUAAUAUUCCUGUACCAGUGUUGUACCGCCCAAGCGAUUUUCACUGAAUGCUUGAUUCUUCUUUAAUAAGACUUCGGUUUUAUUUUUGAACUUCGAGACUAAGUGUUAGGAGCUAGCAAUGGAGGGACGCGGCAUGGUAACUCGGGCCUACCUAUUGAACAUGGUAGGUGUAAGCGUUUAGGGCCAUAUACAUCUAGGCAAAUCCGGAUGUAUUCGUGUCUGAUACGUUAUGCAAAAUGUUCGCCGUAAGGCGGAUGAUUCGAGCGACCCAAGCUGACUAGAAAAUCUUCUAGCGAGGUAUAGCACUGUCCGUACCGCAAACCAACUCCGGUGGGUAGGAUGAGAAUUCUAAGGUGAUCGAGAAAACUAGCGUUAAGGAGCUCGGCAAAAAAGCGUCCGUAACUUCGGGAUAAGGACUGCCUUUUGCGUUCCACAUUGCGCUUAAAAUGAUUGAGAUAAAAUAAGAAGAAAACUUGAGCGCGGCGUGGAACGUAGAAGGCCGCAGCGAAAGACUUCAGGCGACUGUUUACCAAAAACACAGGUCUCUGCAAAACCGUAAGGUGAAGUAUAGGGGCUGAUGCCUGCCCAGUGUCAGAAGGUUAAGAGGACGGGUUCACGCUCGGAAUCGAAGCCCUGAUGAACGGCGGCCGUAACUAUAACGGUCCUAAGGUAGCGAAAUUCCUUGUCGGGUAAUUUCCGACCCGCACGAAUGGCACAACGGUCUGAAGACUGUCUCAACGCUAGACUCGGUGAAAUUGCAGAACUGGUAAAAAUGCCAGUUAACUGCGGCAAGACGAAAAGACCCUAUGAAGCUUUACUAUAAUUUGACAUUGAAUUGAAAUCUAUUUUGUGUAGGAUAGGUGGGAGACUUUGAAGCUCCGACGCCAGUCGGAGUGGAGUCAACCUUGAAAUACCACCCUAAAUAUAUUUUGGUUCUAACUUAACCCGUUAUCCGGGUUAGGGACAUUGUUUGAUGGGUAGUUUAACUGGGGCGGUUGCCUCCUAAAUUGUAACGGAGGCGCGCAAUGGUCCGCUAGGUCCGGAUGGAAAUCGGACUGAUAGUGUAUUCGCAUAAGCGGGCUUGACUGUGAGGAUUACAAUCCGAGCAGGUGCGAAAGCAGGUGAAAGUGAUCCGGCACCUUGUACUGAAUUUU